AGAAUCAACGCUGGCGGCGUGCCUAACACAUGCAAGUCGCACGAGAAAGGGGCUUCGGCUCUGAGUAAAGUGGCGCACGGGUGAGUAACACGUGAAUUAUCUACCUCCGAGUGGGGAAUAACUGAGAGAAAUCUUAGCUAAUACCGCAUAACACUUACGAGUCAAAGCAGCAAUGCGCUUGGAGAGGAGUUCGCGGCCGAUUAGUUAGUUGGCGGGGUAAUGGCCCACCAAGACGAUGAUCGGUAUCCGGCCUGAGAGGGCGCACGGACACACUGGAACUGAAACACGGUCCAGACUCCUACGGGAGGCAGCAGUGGGGAAUUUUGCGCAAUGGGGAAACCCUGACGCAGCAACGCCGCGUGGAGGAUGAAAUCCCUUGGGAUGUAAACUCCUUUCGAUAGGGAAGAUUAUGACGGUACCUAUAGAAGAAGCCCGGCUAACUUCGUGCCAGCAGCCGC
rnacentral:rRNA from 1 species